rnacentral:rRNA from 1 species
GAUGAACGCUGGCGGCGUGCCUAAUACAUGCAAGUCGAGCGAACGGACGAGAAGCUUGCUUCUCUGAUGUUAGCGGAGGACGGGUGAGUAACACGUGGAUAACCUACCUAUAAGACUGGGAUAACUUCGGGAAACCGGAGCUAAUACCGGAUGAUCUUUUGAACCACAUGGUUCGAAAGUAAAAGACGGUCUUGCUGUAACUUAUCGAUGGAUCCGCGCUGCAUUAGCUAGUUGGUGAGGUAACGGCUUACCAAGGCAACGAGGCAUAGCCGACCUGAGAGGGGGAUCGGCCACACUGGAACUGAGACACGGUCCUGACUCCUACGGGAGGCAGCAGUAGGGAAUCGUCCGCAAUGGGCGAAAGCCUGACGGAGCAACGCCGCGUGAGUGAUGACGGUCCUCGGAUCGUAAAACUCUGUUAUUAGUGAAGAACAUAUGUGUAAGUAACUGUGCACAGCUUGACGGUACCUAAUCAGAAAGCCACGGCUAACUACGUG